rnacentral:lncRNA from 1 species
CAUCGAUGAUCUCUCUGUACUUUGCUCUGUCAAUCUUUCCCUCGAUGCUGACUCGUCUCCCAGUCCCUGGCACUGAAAAACAUCCCCACAGCAUGAUGCUGCCACCACCUUUCUUCACGCUCAGGCAGUGUGAGGUUUUCCCUACCCAGGCAGAGAGAGCCAGGAGUGGGGGAGGGGGAGACGAGGGGAGACGAGCGCCGGAGCUUGAAUUAUGGAUUUUGAAAGAUUUACCAUUGCUGCUGGACUGCGGAUGUUCGAAUGAAGAGAGAGGGUGACAAAGAGAGC